GACAUGGCCGUGUAUAUAGCAAAAGAGUUUUUGAGAAAAAUGGCUCAACCAUAUGAUAAGAACGGUGCUCUGGGCAAGAAAACUCUACUGUCACAAGAAGACUUGGAGAAUAUGAUCACCGGCCCUGAUGGGGAAAUGUUGCUUUAAGUGCCAGUACUAGGUGAGAAAUCAUUUUUGCUAAUCUGUUCCCCGGAAUUCUCAGUGUUCUAUAUGUGGAACAGCACGAUUACUACAUCCGUUAAAAUUUCAAGUGAACUGAUUCCUGUUAAAGAUUUGUAGCAACCUUCAGUUUUGGGCGACUUCACUACUUUUAGAGCUGACUUAAUUGGAAUUUCAUGAAGCUUGUACAUUUCCGGAUCUCUGAGACUUUCUUGGUUUUU
rnacentral:misc_RNA from 1 species